CACUCCUGCGGGAGGCAACAGUGGGGAAUAUUGGACAAUGGGCGCAAGCCUGAUCCAGCCAUGCCGCGUGAGUGAUGAAGGCCCUAGGGUUGUAAAGCUCUUUCACCGGUGAAGAUAAUGACGGUAACCGGAGAAGAAGCCCCGGCUAACUUCGUGCCAGCAGCCGCGGUAAUACGAAGGGGGCUAGCGUUGUUCGGAUUUACUGGGCGUAAAGCGCACGUAGGCGGACUAUUAAGUCAGGGGUGAAAUCCCGGGGCUCAACCCCGGAACUGCCUUUGAUACUGGUAGUCUUGAGUUCGAGAGAGGUGAGUGGAAUUCCGAGUGUAGAGGUGAAAUUCGUAGAUAUUCGGAGGAACACCAGUGGCGAAGGCGGCUCACUGGCUCGAUACUGACGCUGAGGUGCGAAAGCGUGGGGAGCAAACAGGAUUAGAAACCCUUGUAGUCC
rnacentral:rRNA from 1 species